AUUCUCAGUUCAAGUAUUACAAUUUAGUGAGUCCCGUGCUCUUUCAAGUUCAGAGAUGUAGGGGCAUUAAUGGAAAAAAGAGCAGCAGAGAUGUGAAAAAUACAGCAUAUAAAACAUUAAAACAAUCUAUACUCGUUCAUAUAACCUAACAAUCCCAUAUUCCCAUAUGUUCAAAUGCAAGUAAAAAAAUUAUCUAUGAAACAAACUCAAAAGAAAAGAAGGAUGACAUGUAACAAAUCGAAAGAAACAACUCCUCUAAACAAUGCCACUAAAUAAGUUGCCAAGAAGCAGUGAACAAUCUUUACUUGGUUUGAAACAACCAUAUCAUGGGCAUCCGUACCCUCUAGAAUAAACAAGCAAUGCAUCACUUCCUGCCUAAUAUAAGUCUUAGAAGACCCUCAUCACACAUUGGCUUUAACUUCAGUACUCUCCUUUGCUUCUGUUUUAUUUUCUUCAGAUGUAACAUCCUUUUGGCUCUCUGUACCUACUGCAGCUUCAAUUGGUUUCAGUGUUUUGGCCUCCUCAUAAGCACUAGCAACAUCAUCUGAGGCUUCUAUUUUCUUUUCCUCGGAUGUCCCAUUGGUUUGGCUCUCUACAGCUGGUGCAGGUUCAAUUGCUUUCUCUGUUCCAUUGGCAACAUCUGGAGCUUCGGUUGGUGCAAUUUCAAUUUUUUUCUGUGUUUCAGCCUUCUCAGGAGCAUUGACAACUUCUGAAAGAUGCGUCUGUCGAACUGGAGUUUCCGACUCUUGAGCAUCAACAACUGGGAUAGGGGUCAGUUCAACUGGAGUUCCAUGCUUUUGAGUAUCAACAACUGGGGCAAGGGUCACUUCAAUUGGAGUUUCUGGAUUUUGAGCAUCAACAUCUUGGACAGGGGGAGUUUCAGAUUUUUCAACCUCUGAAAGCUUGGUUUCAGAUUCAUCUGUAGGUUUUUUAUCCACAGAUGGUUCUUCUUGUUUUAGUGGCUCCGCUGCUGGAUUACCAUCUCCCGUUGAGUCCUUCCCUUCCUCAUUCUACAUAAAAGCAUGAGCUCCAGCAUGAACCGUCCUUAUUCAGUUGGAUAGCCCUCUGUCCUAUUGGGUACUUCUUUCCUCAUGAAUAGAGACUUUUAAGGCUUUUUGUCUUAUCCUAA